rnacentral:rRNA from 1 species
UUUUAUUUUAAGGCAUUGGAUAAUGAAAUAGGACUCGAGUCUUGUUUUGUUGGUUUACUUGACAUUGAGAAAUGAUGAAUAGGAACGGUUGGGGGCAUUUGUAUUUGGCCGCUAGAGGUGAAAUUCUUGGAUUGGCCGAAGACAAACUACUGCGAAAGCAUUUGACCCAGGACGUUUUCAUUGAUCAGGGACUAAAGUUGAGGGAUCGAAGACGAUUAGAUACCGUCGUAGUCUUAACCACAAACUAUGCCGACUAGCGAUUGGGCCUUGACCUUUGGUCAGGUUCAGCAGCUUAGCGAAAGUAAAGUCUUUGGGUUCUGGGGGGAGUAUGGGACGCAAGGCUGAAACUUAAAGGAAUUGACGGAAGGGCACCACCAGGAGUGGAGCCUGCGGCUUAAUUUGACUCAACACGGGGAAACUCACCAGGUCCAGACAUAAGAAGGAUUGACAGAUUGAAAGCUCUUUCUAGAUUUUAUGGGUGGUGGUGCAUGGCCGUUCUUAGUUCGUGGAGUGAUUUGUCUGGUUAAUUCCGAUAACGAACGAGACCUUAAUCUGCUAAAUAGCUGGGCCAACUUUUUAGUUGGUAGCAUGAUUCCUUCGGGGAUCCCAGCUUCUUAGAGAGACUACUGAAUUCAAUUCAGUGGAAGUUUUAGGCAAUAACAGGUCUGUGAUGCCCUUAGAUGUUCUGGGCCGCACGCGCGCUACCCUGACAAAAGCAACGAGUUUCAUCCUUGGCCGGAAGUACUCCUUCAAGUACCAUGACCCCUCC